AUCUGAAGCCUGACGAGGAUGAGAACCUCCGGGGGCAAGAGGUUCGACUCGAGCGAAGCGAGAGAACGUUGCGUCAGCAACGGCCCGCAGUGGCAAGUCAUCCUCUGUCACCGGCA
rnacentral:sRNA from 3 species